rnacentral:tRNA from 1 species
UCUCGAUUGGUCUAGUGGUGAGGAUACCUGCUUGUCAUUAAGCAGUUCGCAGGUGGCCGGGGUUCGAUUCCCCGAUCGAGAG